rnacentral:rRNA from 1 species
UACGGAGGGGGCUAGCGUUGUUCGGAAUUACUGGGCGUAAAGCGCACGUAGGCGGACUGGAAAGUCAGGGGUGAAAUCCCGGGGCUCAACCCCGGAACUGCCUUUGAAACUCCCAGUCUUGAGUUCGAGAGAGGUGAGUGGAAUUCCGAGUGUAGAGGUGAAAUUCGUAGAUAUUCGGAGGAACACCAGUGGCGAAGGCGGCUCACUGGCUCGAUACUGACGCUGAGGUGCGAAAGCGUGGGGAGCAAACAGG